GACGAACGCUGGCGGCGUGCUUAACACAUGCAAGUCGAACGGAAAGACCCCUUUGGGGGUCCUCGAGUGGUGAACGGGUGAGUAACACGUGAGUAACCUGCCCUUGACUUCAGGAUUACUUCAGGAAACUGGGGCUAAUACCGGAUAGGAAUCCUUGCUGCAUGGUGGGGGUUGGAUAGCUUCGGCGGUUUUGGCUGGACUCGCGGCUUAUCAGCUUGUUGGUGGGGUUGUGGCUUACCAAGGCUUUGACGGGUAGCCGGCCUGCGAGGGCGACCGGCCACAUAGAGACUGAGGGGCGGCCCAGGCACCUACGGGUGGGAGAUGUGCGGAAGAUUGCACAAGGGGCGGCAGGCGGGUGCUGCAGCGCCGCGGGCCGGAUGACGGCCUUCGUGUUGUAGACCGAUUUCAGAAGGGGCGAAGCUUGUGGUGACGGUACCUGCAGAAGAAGCACCGGCUAACUACGUG
rnacentral:rRNA from 1 species